AGCGAACGCUGGCGGCAGGCUUAAUACAUGCAAGUCGAGCGCCUGUAGCAAUACAGGAGCGGCAGACGGGAGAGUAACACGUGGGAACGUGCCCUUUGGUUCGGAACAACACAGGGAAACUUGUGCUAAUACCGGAUAAGCCCUUACGGGGAAGAUUUAUCGCCAAAGGAUCGGCCCGCGUCUGAUUAGCUAGUUGGUGGGGUAAUGGCCCACCAAGGCGACGAUCAGAGCUGGUCUGAGAGGAUGAUCAGCCUCAUUGGGACUGANACACGGCCCAAAACUCCUACGGGAGGCAGCAGUAGGGAUAUUGGACAAUGGGCGCAAGCCUGAUCCAGCCAUGCCGCGUGAGUGAUGAAGGCCUUAGGGUUGUAAAG
rnacentral:rRNA from 1 species